AAAAACAUAGUUUUUUGAAAAUAUAGAAGAUGAUGUCUGCCCAGUGAAUUAUUAAAUGGCCAUGGUAUUUAUGACUAUGCAAAGGUAGCGUAAUCAUUUGUCUUAUCAAUUAAGUCUGGAAUGAAUGGAAUAAUGGGGCAAUACUUUCUUUAAUUAAAAAUUAAAAAUAAAUUUUUUAGCGAGGAAACUAAAAUGAAUUUAAGGGACGAGAAGACCCUAUUAAGCUUAAUAUGAUUAUUUUGUUGGGGAAACAAAAGAAAAAAAUUUCUUUGAAAAAUAUAUUGAUAAAUAUAGAUUUAACAAUGUUAAUUUUAGAUUUAGUUACUAUAGGGAUAACAGCAUAAUUUUUUUGAAAAGAACUUAUUGAUAAAAUGGAUUAUGACCUCGAUGUUGGAUUAAAAAAAAUUGUAUUAUGCAGAUGUUAUAUAAAUUAGUCUGUUCGACUAUUGAAUUUUUACAUGAUCUGA
rnacentral:rRNA from 1 species